CAGGGUUUGAACCCACAUCCCCUGCAGUGGAAGGCAAAGUCUUAAUCACUGGACCACCAGGUUCUGAAAUGGCAAGGUGACAGAAUGGCAGUGAAGAAGGACACAGACAUGCCACAAAUUGUGUGAUAGAGUCGGUUUUUCAUCUACCUGUCUAUCCAGUAGGGCAGAAUCUGAUCCCGGUGCCAUUGUCACUGUGUUCGUACAGAGAAGUGGCUUGUAUAGGUUCGUUCCAGCAUCAGUAAGAACAUUCCGAUCUUCCUGGUCCAGGGAGGGCACCCUUCUCAUGGGAAUUUGAUGACCUGCUUUUGGCUCACGGCCGCGAUUCUGGAGUCUACCGCAGUGCCUGACAUGCAGUGGAUUCAGUCUGAUGAGCUGCUGAAACAAGCAAUGAAGAACAUCAACCAAGUGAUAAGGAACAGCUUUGAGUGAGGACAGGAGCAGCACCUCUGGUAGGAGUUGUUGACUGUUGACGGCCGUCAGCCAGUUGAGAGCUGUGACCCAAGACACACCAAGUCACUCCGGUCUUGUCAUCCGUGUUGAUUCCAUUGACCCCACUUCCCAGCACUCACCUCCCACCUUCUCCCUCCCAAAGCCCUCCCUGCAUCUAAUCUUCCUGGGGCCAUGUGGAUCGGCACUUCCUCUCCUGUAGUGGAAGGAACUGACUGCAUGUGUGGAGACACGGCCAUCAGUGCCAAGAAAUUCUAUUUCUGUUCCCCUCCACUCAUCAGGAGGAAACACCAACAGCUGUAGCACCAUGUCAGCACUUUCUAGACAACACAACUAGUUAGUGUCUGCUGAUGAGAGUUUGGGCUGCUUUUUGACUGAAAUCGUUUAUUUCAUUCACAUCUUUAAAAAUCCUGGUGCCCACACAGCUCUGUGUCCUGGCGUGGAGCUGAUGUUCAGAACAUGUUUGCUCGAGAAUUCUCAAGGCUCCUAGAUGGUCUUUCCCUUCCCUGAUGUUUCCAGUGUUCACAACAACAUUAACAUCACCGGCAUAUAAACAGCUCUUUCCUGUUCCAAGAGCCAGAGAAGCAGUCCAGGAAAAAUGGAUGGAGGCUAUAAAUAGGACAAUUUCAGAACAUGAAUUCUGCAAGGCCAGUAAUCAUGUGAAAUUUUCUUUCAGUGACACUGGAAACUGUCUUUCCAAAUAUACCGAUGAACGUAUUUAAAAGAGGACUUGCUACCCUUAUGCCUACGUGGGUAUAGGCUGCCUGUGCUGGGAAGGCAGGUUGCUACCAUGACUACAAAUAUAAAUAAAUAAAGAAGUCAAUGAUGAAAAACAAAACAAAAAAGCUAUGUGAUGGUGGAGAUUAUUGCUCUAUUUGCCUUGGAGGCUAAACAUAUUGCCAAAAACAUAGGUGUUCAGAGAAGAGUAAAAAUCCUCCAAAUUCUUCGAAUUUUUUCUUUAAAUGUUUAAGUACUGAGAAACAGAGUAUUUCCUGCCAUCUCAGUGAACAAGGAUGUCAUCGUCCUCAGGGAUUCCAGCCCUCCAGGACAUCCAGGAAGGAGAAGACCUGAGUUACAUGGCGGCCAUCAGUCUGUAUGUAGCCAUUCCCCACAGGGAGCCCUGAGGAGCUCAGGGUGUGAAAAGCACAGGACAUUGGCCCUAGAUACAGGAAUGAUUUCAGUGAACCCAGACUCUUGCAUCUUCCCAUAAACAGAAAAGCGCUAAAUUCCUUGAGAUGUCUGUGUGUGCUCAGUUAUGUCCGACUCAUCUGUGGCCUGUGG